AUGGAUGCCUUCCGUGUUUCCAUUCCUACUCCGCCAUAUCUGCUCAAACCGAGCAUUCUCUGCAGCAAUCUAAAUUAUUACCGAAGUCUCAACUUUGGUCAGGCGCUGUUCCUUUCUCUACAGGC